GACGAACGCUGGCGGCGUGCCUAAUACAUGCAAGUAGAACGCUGAAGGAGGAGCUUGCUUCUCUGGAUGAGUUGCGAACGGGUGAGUAACGCGUAGGUAACCUGCCUGUUAGCGGGGGAUAACUAUUGGAAACGAUAGCUAAUACCGCAUAAUAUUGACUAUUGCAUGAUAGUCAGUUGAAAGGUGCAACUGCACCACUACCAGAUGGACCUGCGUUGUAUUAGCUAGUUGUUGGGGUAACGGCUCACCAAGGCGACGAUACAUAGCCGACCUCAGAGGGUGAUCGGCCACACUGGGACUGGGACACGGCCCAGACUUCUACGGGAGGCAGCAGUAGGGAAUCUUCGGCAAUGGACGGAAGGCUGACCGAGCAACGCCGCGUGAGUGAAGAAGGUUUUCGGAUCGUAAAGCUCUGUUGUAAGAGAAGAACGAGUGUGAGAGUGGAAAGCUCACACUGUGACGGUAUCUUACCAGAAAGGGACGGCUAACUACGUG
rnacentral:rRNA from 1 species